rnacentral:rRNA from 1 species
GACGAACCGUGCGAACGUUGUUCGGAAUCACUGGGCUUAAAGGGCGCGUAGGCGGCUUGCCAAGUCAGUGGUGAAAUCCCGCAGCUUAACUGUGGAAGUGCCUUUGAUACUGGCGAGCUCGAGGGAGGUAGGGGUAUGUGGAACUUCUGGUGAAGCGGUGAAAUGCGUUGAUAUCAGAAGGAACGCCGGUGGCGAAAGCGACGUACUGGAUCUCUUCUGACGCUGAGGCACGAAAGCCAGGGUAGCAAACGGG